UACGUAGGUGACAAGCGUUGUCCGGAUUUACUGGGCGUAAAGAGCGCGCAGGCGGUCGUUCAAGUCGAGUGUGAAAGCCCCCGGCUCAACUGGGGAGGGUCAUUCGAUACUGAUCGACUUGAAGGCAGGAGAGGGAAGUGGAAUUCCCGGUGUAGUGGUGAAAUGCGUAGAUAUCAGGAGGAACACCGGUGGCGAAGGCGGCUACCUGGACAGAAACUGACGCUGAGGCGCGAAAGCUAGGGGAGCAAACAGG
rnacentral:rRNA from 1 species